rnacentral:lncRNA from 1 species
ACAGAAUAUGCAUUUUUGUCAAAUGUCCCAACAAAUAGCCUCACCUACUGUCAUGAAGGUACACGACGACGAAUGGAGAAAAGGAACCAUGCUGAAUUUGAAUUUCCAAAUUCAAUCAGGAAAGUGAGUCCUGCCUCACAUAUUUGGUAGAUUUAUCACGUAUUCUUAUCUACACCGAAUUAUUUUUAUUCUGAAAACACAUGCUGUAUCAUUCGACUGCAUAAAAAGGCACUUGACCACCUCUAUUUUCAAAUUUAUGCCGCAGAUUACCUGAAAAAAUUCUCAGUCUAUUUUAAAAGAUAAGAUAAAAAAAAAAAAAACUUCCUCCGAAUUCAGCAAAAUAGGACAAUUCCUAUUUUGCAGACGCAUUUUCCUGUUCUUUGCCGGUCUACGACUCUUUCCCCCGCACUCCAGCCCGUCUUUCCCUUUUAAAAAAAAGACUCGGGCUGACAGAGAUGGCUCGGCCAGCAGCCCCGAUCCCCUCCGCCUGGGCCAUCAACAGCCGAGCGAGAAUGAACACUACAGAUGGGAGAAAAGCCUAAAGACGCAAACAAGGUAAAAGGAAAAAACGGGGGUGGGGUGGGGCGAGACCCGCCCAAACUCUCAAUCCCACCUGAGCCCACUUCCUUCACGGGACCACAUAAUACAGUCGAAAAGAUAACAAAUAUAAAAAAGGAACCCCACGCGAAAGCAAGGAAUGCUUCCUUACUCUCCGCGUCCCCGGCAUCUUCCCGGCCCACCCCACCCCCAGGGGUCCCGGCGCCAUUUAGCUCCUCCGAAGCCGCCGCCAUUUUCCGCCCCCGCCGGAUUGCUGUCUGUGCCUCGGCGGCCACUCGCUACCCUGCAGGCUACGCCACCGCCGGAGGCCCGGCCCCGAGAGGGAGGCCCUGGCCUGAGCGUGCGGGGACGGCGGCUUCAGCGUCACGAAGGCCCAGCUCCGACCCCGCCCGCAGUGCCCGAGCGCCGGCAGCUGGCGCCGGCCAGCGGGAGCAGGCGGGCAGCAAGGGGGCCGGACAGGCUCCACUGGGCGGAGCGGCCCUGGCGGCGGUUGGGACCUGAAGGUUCCAUCGCACUUACUUCCUGUUUUGGGUCCGGGCACUUUGGAAGAACCAGGAUGGAGGCUCCAAAAAAUACCAGGAUGGAGGAAGCAGCCACGGGCAAGAGUGGCUGCAGCUGGAGUGAGCGAGCGCGACGAGCCACCGGAAACGGAGCUACGGCCGCGCCCCGCCUCCAGCCCCCGCACGCUUCCCCGCCCGGCCUCCUCUCUCUUGGGGCGGCCCUGCGCGCCGACUGCUGGCGUCACUUCCGGCCAAGUCGGAGCGCGGAAAAAAGGUCUCGGGAACUGGUGCUUCAGACUCCGUCGAACUGUUUGAAGUCGGCUGUUUUUUCCUCUCCUCCUACUAGAAAAUCUGGGCUGCUCUCCCUGAGGAGCUGUCAGAGAAAACCAAUACUCGGCCCCACCCCCAGAGAGUCUGGAAGCCUCCAGGGACUCAGGUAGAGAUUUUUGUUUUCAAAGAGUUUCAGAGCCUUGAAAGUUGGAAGAGUUAGUGGUCGGAACCCUGUUACAACUCUGUGAUUCUGACCUCAUUUUACUUGUUUAAAAAACUGAUUUAUCGCACUCUGCUUUCACUACUGGGAUAACGAGUUUAAAAAUUAGACGACUAAUGUUUUUGCUUACAAUUACUAUGUGUAGAGUCACACUACAGUUGAAACAAUGGGAAUGUAGUCAGCAUCAAUUGUAAAGGUCAAAAGAAGGCUAUCGAGAGUGUGAAUAUGUAUGUCUUGCAUUGGUCUUAACUAAUGAAGCUAAUAAUGGUUAAUGAUUUCCUCUAUUUUAGCUUUUUAAAAAUUGUUUCAUGCAACCUUGGUUUCUUUUGAAUACCAAAUUUAGUUUGAAAGAAUUAGUGGAAGUGACACUAAUUUGUCCAAGGAAGGGGAAAAAAGCAAACUACACAUUGAAAUGGGUUUAGAUAGAUAAAUAUUUGUUUUAUUUUUAAGCCAAAUGUACAUAGUUUUCACCAAUAGUCCACAUUACCUAUUCUUGGGGGGUAACUUUCUCAAUCAUAAAUGUUGCAUUUAACAAAAAAGAGUGUAAAAUGAGAUGCUACUACACAUCAGUUAGAAUGGCUAAAAUCCAAAACACUGAUGACACCAAAUGCUGAUGAGGCUGUAGAACAAUAGCAACUCUCUUUCAUUGAUAGAAUGCAGAAUGGUACAGCUACUUUGGAAGACAGUUUGGUGAUUCCUAACAGAACUAAGCAUAUUCUUAUCGUAUGAUCCAGCAAUUGCUCCUUGAUAUUUAUCCUAAAUAGCUGAAACCUUAUGUCCACCUAAUUAUAACAACUUCAUUGCAAUUGCCAAAUUGUUUCUUCAAUAAGAAAGUCGAUAAAUUGCAACACAUCCAGACAAUGGAAUAUUAUCCAUUGCUAAAAAGAAAUGAGCUAUCAAGCCAGACAAAAACAUGAAGGAACCUUAAAUGCAUACCACUGAGUGAAAAAAGUCAAUCUGAAGAAGGUAUGUAAUGAAUGAUUCCAACUAUCUGGCAUUCUGGAAAGAGAAAAACUGUGGAGAUAGUGAAAAUAUCAGUAGUUGCCAGUUUAAGGCCAGAGGAAAAGACGCAAGUAGAGCACAGAGGAUUUUUUAAGGCAGCAAAACGUUUCUGUAGAAUGCUGUAAUGAUGGCAGGCACAUGGCGUUAUUCUUUUAUCAAAACCCAUAGAAUGUUCAACACCAAUAGUGAACCCUAAUGUGAACUGUGGACUUUGGUUGUUUAUGAUGUGUCUAUGCUGCUUCAUCAUUUGCAAUAAAUGUACCACUCCAGUAGGGGAUGGUGGUGGUGGAAGAGGCCAUGCAUGUGUAGGGUGGGGGGUAUAUGGGAAGUGUCUGUACCUUCCCCUCAGUUUUGAUGUAAAUUUUAAACUGCCCCCUUCACUGCCCCCAGGAAAGUCUAUGUGAACAAGAAAGUAUAAAAGAGACAAAUAAGCCUUUGGAUUUGGACAAGGUUAGUCGGCUUUUGUGUGUGUGUGUGUGUGAGUGCUUAUGUGUCAUUUAAGUGCUUUACAUACAUUAAGCUCAUGUAAUGUUCACAAGUGCCAAAGCUUCAAUAUAGUUAUUAACAAAUGAUUCCCAUUUUAGACAAGAACCCAAAAAGUGAAGGAAUGUGUCCAAGGACACAUAGCAAAUAAGUGGUAGAUUCAGAAUUGAAACCUCAUCUCCAAAGCCUAUGUGCCAAACUACCCUUCUGCAACUCAAAAAAUACACUUUGUCAACAGUCUUUAUAUUAUGAGAACAAAUUAUUACUACUAGUUUCCAGAGUUUUUACUGAACUGGAAGAAGGACCUGUCUGACCAAUUUUCAAAAAUAAAUGCCAGAAGUAGCAUUUUAUCGCAUCUAACUUUAUUACCAGUUUGUGGUAAUCUCUGUAUCACAUUGUGGUUAUGGCAUAUAUCAAUCAACUUUUAAAACUGUAAAUAAAUAAUAUAUAACCAACACUCUGAG